rnacentral:rRNA from 1 species
GAUGAACGCUGACAGAAUGCUUAACACAUGCAAGUCUACUUGAACUUCGGUUUGGGUGGCGGACGGGUGAGUAACGCGUAAAGAACUUGCCUCACAGAUAGGGACAACAUUUGGAAACGAAUGCUAAUACCUGAUAUUAUGAUUUUAGGGCAUCCUAGAAUUAUGAAAGCUAUAUGCACUGUGAGAGAGCUUUGCGUCCCAUUAGCUAGUUGGAGAGGUAACGGCUCACCAAGGCGAUGAUGGGUAGCCGGCCUGAGAGGGUGAUCGGCCACAAGGGGACUGAGACACGGCCCUUACUCCUACGGGAGGCAGCAGUGGGGAAUAUUGGACAAUGGACCAAGAGUCUGAUCCAGCAAUUCUGUGUGCACGAUGAAGUUUUUCGGAAUGUAAAGUGCUUCCAGUUGGGAAGAAAAAAAUGACGGUACCAACAGAAGAAGUGACGGCUAAAUACGUG